rnacentral:misc_RNA from 1 species
AAAAAAAAAAAAAAAAGGCUUUUUUUCUCUCUGCUUUCGCUAGAAAGUUCUCUGGAAAGUGUCUUUUCUCUUUGAGGCCAAGCCUCGUUCUUGUGCCGAAACCGUCGGCUUCCCCUGCUCCUCUCAGGUGGAGAUGGCCUUUCCAUCCUUCCCGGAGCAUGGGUUUUCCCUCAUCCCCCUCCGGGUGGACUAUAUACCAGAGUUUCUCUUGCCACCGGCACCGGUUCUUUCCGUUGAUCUAU